AUCGAUUUGAAAACCAGAAUCUG
rnacentral:snRNA from 1 species